rnacentral:misc_RNA from 1 species
GAUGAAGAACGCAGCGAAAUGCGAUAAGUAAUGUGAAUUGCAGAAUUCAGUGAAUCAUCGAAUCUUUGAACGCACAUUGCGCCCGCCAGUAUUCUGGCGGGCAUGCCUGUUCGAGCGUCAUUACAACCCUCAGGCCCCCGGGCCUGGCGUUGGGGAUCGGCGGAGCCCCCCGUGGGCACACGCCGUCCCCCAAAUGCAGUGGCGGUCCCGCCGCAGCUUCCAUCGCGUAGUAGCUAACACCUCGCGACUGGAGAGCGGCGCGGCCACGCCGUAAAACACCCAACUCUUCUGAAGUUAACCUCGAAUCAGGUAGGAAUACCCGCUGAACUUAAGCAUAUCAAUAAGCGGAGGA